rnacentral:miRNA from 1 species
CCCGCCGCCUCUCACCUUCC